GGGCGUGUGGCGCAGUUGGUAGCGCGUUCGCUUCGCACGCGAAAGGCCUCCGGUUCGACUCCGGACUCGUCCA
rfam:Candida tanzawaensis NRRL Y-17324 unplaced genomic scaffold CANTAscaffold_9, whole genome shotgun sequence.